GGUUGCAUGAGAAGUUCACGGUUGUCCUGAUUAUUAAGAUCUUCGGAAAUCAUCUAAGUUUGAAUUUUUUCUGCAUGAAAUUUGGGAGAAGUCUUUAUUUAUUUAUUUAUUUUUGAGACGGAGUUUCACUCUUGUUGCCCAGGCUGGAGUGGCCAUCUUGGCUCCCUUCAACCUCUCACUCCCGGAUUCAAGUAAUUCUUGUGCCUCAGCCUCCCGAGUAGGUGAGAUUACAGGCAUGCGCCACCACACCCAGCUAAUUUUUGUAUUUUUAGUAGAGACUGGGUUUCACUAUGUUGGCCAGGCUGGUCUUGAACUCCCGACCUCAGGUGAUCCACACGCCUCGGCCUCCCAAAGUGCUGGGAUUACAGGUGUGAGCCACCACGCCUGGCCAGAAGUCUUUAUUUUUGUACCAAGUUUAAGAGUUUCGCCAAGAGAUAGCUUAGGGUCAGUAGUCUCGUUUUAAUUGGUACAAGAUGACCCAUCUCAGUUCAUUUUAAAGUCUUGCAUUCAUUUAUUUGACAAAUAUUUAUUGAGUGCUUACUAUAUGCUAGGUAGGCACUGUUUUAAGUUCUGGGGAGAGAGCAGUGAAGAAAAUAGACAAGCUCUUUGUCCUUAAGGAUUUUACAAUGGGGUGUGUGUGUGUGUGUGUGUGUGUGUGUGUGUGGUGUGAGUGAGAGAGAGAACAAGUUUUUGAUUAUUGAUUUCCUUCCACCUGAUUUAUUUUAUCCAGAAACUUAAAGUGUUUUUCCCUCAUACUAUAUCUUCACACUUUAUCCUAAAUGCCUGGCAUUUUCCCUUGUUUUCUUUUCAUCUCUCCAUUAAUUUCCCUCACUUGCCACAUAGGUUUCUCUUGUUGAUCUUCUGCUUAAUAAUCCAAUUUCCUGUAAGCCUAUUUAUUUCCGCUUCCAGGGACAAUCUGAUAUGAUGAAGCACCCAGUUCCCCCUGCACUGUCCCUGUCUAAUCUCCCUCAGAAUAGGUAAUAGCUGUUUUCUAAAAUCUCCUUACAUUUCAUAUGAGAGAUCUAUUUCAGGAAAUAGGAUUAUCAAUACAAUUUUGCUGCUUUCUUCUUUUACAUCUGUGCUCAGGGCUUUCUCACUGGGAUCAGAUUAAUUUUCUUCCUCUUAUAUUCAGACCUCCAUGCAAUUCAUGUGUAAAUCCAACAAGAGCAAGUGGAUGUUUAAACCCUUGUAGCAUGUAUGUGUAAAUAAAGAGAAGAAAGGAAGGAGGAAUGGAGCGGAGGGGAGAGGACAAUUUAAAUAGUGCCAGCGAGUCUACCUAUCAUUCUACUCAGAGUGUGUGCCCAGAAUAAGCAGAGAUAGAUGCGAUGGGAGCCUGUUACUCUCUCAGUGGGUCUCACAAAUGCCUCUUACACUGUGAGCAUCUCAUUAUGAGGACUGUGACUUUCAUGUCUAAAGAUGUGUAUUUUUUGGCCAGGCACGGUGGCUCACGCCUGUAAUCCCAGCAAUUUGGGAGGCUGAGGUGGGCGGAUCCUCUGAAGUCAGGAGUUCAGGACCAGCCUGGCCAACAUGCUGAAUCCCCGUCUUUACUAAAAAUACCAAAAAAAAAUUAGCCAGGCAUGGUGGUGCAUGCCUGUAAUCCCAACUACCCGG
rnacentral:lncRNA from 1 species